AAAUUGGGUGGGGUUUGUAGGGGGAAGAAAUUUGGCGUGACAACGACAGCGCCCCCCGCCACCCCAAAAGGGAAUAAGCGGUAGAAAAGGAUGGAUGGGGAAUAUUGACAAGCAGGUCUAAACAAAAAAUAAAAAAAUAAAACCUCCAGGGAUUGUAUACGACUUCUGCGUCAACACGUAUAUACACGGACACUUAAAAAUCAAGUUAAUGGGACUUUCCUGACGCAAAAAGCAACAAAACAACACCAUGGCAAGGCCCUGAAUCCUCGAGGCGUCCUAUACUAGGUCAGGCACAGAGCUGUUGGCUGUCUCAAGAGGCCUCGUGUCCAGAGAGCCAACCAACCCCCUGCUGAUGUCCACACCAUAAUGAACAGCAGCCCCUGGAGCCCUACAGAGGUGAAGCCACCAGUACAUGGGGGCCGGAGACCAUGAAUGGGGUCGAAAAGACCGAGAGAGACACAGGGUGAGACGGACACCGAAAGGCACGGGAGGCUGCGGGAGAAAGACUAGCGUGACAGGAACGAAAGACUGAAACUGUGUAUAUACAUUCGCAUGUGCCACAAAGAAAAGGGAAAGGAAACAAAAAAAUAUAAAAACGGUGUCAAUCCAGCUUGGUGGUGUUGAGUGAUCCGGGAGAACGCAAACCGAAAGGCGUCUACAACAAUAUAUAUUAUGAUAUUUUGCCUUGGCCUUGAAUGAACACUUGACGCAUGCAGUAUGAUGAUUCUAUGUGUCUACAUUAAAACAUUCUUCUUCAUACUGCAUUCAUAUAUGCUACUUUUAAACUUUCAUGCAGAGAGGGAAAUCACAACUAAGUCAAUUGACCAAAAGUGUAUUUUAUGAAUAAGUUAUUAAGCAAUGGCACAAACAUUCAUGUCAUUUCCAAAACAGAAAGUGCAAGAUUG